rnacentral:rRNA from 1 species
AUUGAACGCUGGCGGCAUGCUUUACACAUGCAAGUCGAACGGUAACAGGCCGCAAGGUGCUGACGAGUGGCGAACGGGUGAGUAAUGCAUCGGAACGUGCCCAGUCGUGGGGGAUAACUACUCGAAAGAGUAGCUAAUACCGCAUACGAUCUAUGGAUGAAAGCGGGGGACCGUAAGGCCUCGCGCGAUUGGAGCGGCCGAUGUCAGAUUAGGUAGUUGGUGGGGUAAAGGCUCACCAAGCCAACGAUCUGUAGCUGGUCUGAGAGGACAACCAGCCACACUGGGACUGAGACACGGCCCAGACUCCUACGGGAGGUAGCAGUGGGGAAUUUUGGACAAUGGGCGCAAGCCUGAUCCAGCAAUGCCGCGUGCAGGAAGAAGGCCUUCGGGUUGUAAACUGCUUUUGUACGGAACGAAACGGCUCUGGUUAAUACCCGGGGCUAAUGACGGUACCGUAAGAAUAAGCACCGGCUAACUACGUG